GAUGAACGCUGGCGGCGUGCCUAAUACAUGCAAGUCGAGCGAACAGACGAGGAGCUUGCUGCUCUGACGUUAGGGGCGGACGGGUGUGUCACACGUGGAUAACCUCCCUGUAUGACGGGGAUCAUUUCGGGAAUCCGGCGCUUAUACGGGAGAAUCUAUUGCAGCGUAUGGUUCAAUAGUGAAAGACGGUUUUGCUGGCUGUUCUCGCUGGAUCCGCGCCUCAUUGGGUAGUUGGGAAGGUAAAGGCUUUUCACGGCGACGAUGCCUAGCCGGGCUGCGAGCGGGAACGGCCACGCGGGAAGUGAGACACGGUCCAGACUCCUACGGGAGGCAGCAAUAGGUAAUCUGCCGCAAAGGGCGAAAGCCUGACGGAGCAACGCAGCGUUGAUGAAGAAGGGCUGCGGAUCGUAAAACGCUGUUAGUAGUGAAGAACAAAUGUGUAAGUAACUAUGCGCGUCUUGACGGAACCGGAACAGAAAGCCACGCCUAACUACUU
rnacentral:rRNA from 1 species